CAGGCAGAUCUUGGGGAGUCCGAGGCCAGCAUGGUCUACAAAGUGACCAGGACAGCCAGAGCUACAUAGUGAAACCCUAUCACAAAGAAAAAGUAAUUCAAUAAGGUCAUCCUGGCAUGGAUAUCCAGAGAGUGGUAGGCCUGAGGCCCCUGGAAGAGACUGGAGAAGGAGAUGGAAAAAUUGCCAUGGAAGUGGAGGACAUUGGGAUCAGAACGCACAGCGCUCAGGGCCACAUGAAGUCUCUUGGGGAUGUACCAGCACCCUCAUUGCCUGGAGCUGCCUCUUCUGUCCCCUUUUGGGUGGGUUAGGAGUCAGGCACAAUCUGCAAAGUCUAGAGUAAGCCUGGGAAGGGAGGUGGAGCCUAGGGGCAUCUCCCAGCUUGCCUAUCACACCACACCCCUAGGUUCUGAGCCGUAGGCAGUCCUGCCUUGCCCUGGAACUGCCACAAGUGGGGCAUCCCCAAAUAGCAUGACGUGUGCAGACUACUGUCUUCUGGAAACUCCUCCGUGGGUGACUGAUGGGUGUGAUAGAGAUGGCGGGAGAUUCUGCAGGGUGGGGUGAGGGAUGUGGUAGUCUCCGGGGUACCCUCGCCCUGCUGUCAGCAACGCCCCCAAUUCCGCUCAUGUUCGCCUCAGGGGCAUAAGAUAAACUGUGCCAGCCUGUUAGAUCUGGGGAUUUCCACGAGAGCCGUGAGCUGUGCAGGGUCUGCUCAGUUCUCCAGGGCUGAGAGUUUGUAGUCAAGUAGGGACAGUGUCCAUGACUGCAAGCAGGUGAGUGUGAAAUCCAGGAGAACUAGAAAUGUGGGGAAGAGGAUCGGCUGAAAAGAUCCUGCUGCAGAAGCCUCCUGCCACCCAGCAGAGACCAUUCCAGACACUGCCUUCUGAAGUUGGGAUAGCAUUUACCCAUCUGCAGAGUCUGGCUGCCACAGCAGCCGAGGUGUGUCUCUGCUAGGCCUAGACUAGCAGGAGGGAGGCUUCACUGCAAUUCCCAGAAACCCCUACCCCACAGUAGCCGCUCUCCAUUUCUUCCGGAAAACCACAGCGCACACACCCCCCUUGGCCUUGAUAAAUUUUGUUCUCAGAUAAA